AGUCUCUAUAUCACUGGACCAGACGAUUUCAGCAUUUUCAAACAUUGUCAAUGGUUUCUCAGAAUGCCUUGUCCAGCGUUGCCAGAAGGGUUUGUAUUUGAACCUUUAAAAAAUUUAAUUAUUUUAAGAAAA